rnacentral:rRNA from 1 species
CUUGUCCACUCCAGGGGGACAACAGUUGGAAACAGCUGCUAAUACCCCAUAAGCCUAAGGGUUAAAGGAGCAAUCCGGGAGAGGAGAGACUCGCGUCCUAUCAGCUAGUAGGUGAGAUAAUGGCUCACCUACGCUAAGACGGGUAACCGGACUGAGAGGUCGAACGGUCACACUGGAACUGAGACACGGUCCAGACUCCUACGGGAGGCAGCAGUGGGGAAUCUUGGGCAAUGGGGGCAACCCUGACCCAGCGACGCCGCGUGGGUGAAGAAAUUCUUCGGAAUGUACAGCCCUGUUGUAUGGGAAGAUAAUGACGGUACCAUACCAGAAAGCCCCGGCAAACUACGUGCCAGCAGCCGCGGUAAUACGUAGGGGGCAAGCGUUGUCCGGAAUGACUGGGCGUAAAGCGCACGCAGGCGGAAUUGUAAGUCCGUUGUAAAAUGCAAAGGCUCAACCUUUGUUUGUCGACGGAUACUGCAAAUCUAGAGUAUGUGAGAGGGAAGUGGAAUUCCAGGUGUACCGGUGAAAUGCGUACAUAUCUGGAGGAACACCAGUGGCGAUGGCGACUUCCUG